rnacentral:lncRNA from 1 species
UUCUCUCUCUCUCCUGCUACUCUCUUUUUCUCUCUCUCGCACUGCUCCUCCAGCUGCUGCAGCUGCACCAGCACCACUGUUUGUUUCUGAAAGUGGUUAAUUACAACUAAUUUUUAGUUGGCCCAUAUUUUUUUUUAUACUUAUACAGAUAUGUCUUUAUACUAGCAAGCAGCCUGUUGGCAACUAGCUAAGCUUAAGACUUCACGUGUAGCAUCAAGACAACCCUGUGUGUGAAACUCAAAUACAUUUAGAUCUAUAGAUAUAUUCUGAUCUGAUCUGAUUAGCGCGUUUGGCACAUGUUUGGACACACAACCUGACAGAAUCAACACAUCUGAAACCGCAUUAAAUUAGACACCCAGUAAACAGUCACACAUGAUGAAGUUAACAAGAUAUUUAAUUUGUCCCCCUUUCUCUCUUACUCCUUUUUCUCACGCAAUUCGACUCGGACAUGUCUCUGUGUCCUUUCCCCAUCCUGAUGCUGCAGCGGCAAGGCUGAACAGAUGAUUUAUUGUAGUGAUCAGAUGAGUUAUUUACUUUGAAAGUAAAUGUACUUUAUUUUACUUUGAAAAUUUGAACAAAAAAGUAAAACAAACUUUCAAUCAAAAUAACCCGUUUAUCUAAUGUCCUCAUAUCCUUAAAAUUCUAAGAAUAUUCAUUCCGGAGUCAGGCCCACAUACGAAUAUUAUAAUAUUCAAUUUUGUGAGCCAAAUUCAUUUUAUAUGCCAACAUCUAUGAAAGAAAGCCAGGCUACCGAGCGCGAUGCAUCCUUUAUGCACAGGCGGUUCCGAUUUUAAUGCCAUGAUUGGAGUUUAUGUUGUGAUCUCUGCGCACAACCCACCUUUGUCAUGUGGGGUUUAAAUAUAUGCAACUUAAUGUGAGUGUCUUUAUUUGUGAAAACGGGUGUUUGUCUUACCAGUGGGUCCAACAUUACACACACCAAAUCCCUCAGUGCUUAUUUGAGAAAGUGUGCAGGACGCCCUCUGCAGCGCUUACAGUGACAUUUAUUGAGGGGCUGCCUUCUGUCGCCAUCAUGUUGCGUUGCUGUCUUCAGACAUCUCUUGAUCUCUUCGACUACUGCACGAAAAUUGUAAUAUGCCUCACCUGUGGCGGAUUUAAAGGUGAGGAGAGGAGCUGAUAUGAUUGGUGAAAACAGGUAUCGGCUGUGUUAAACCUACUCCAUGCCUUCUCUCCUCCCUCUCUAUGACUUAUGCUGCUGGGAGGAGCUGAGUUAGGGAGGGGUGAUACUUGAUGGUGAUACUGCACCACUCACCAAAAUACCAAAAUGUGCUUGGGCAGGCCUUAUCAGUGCGGCGGACUUGACUUACGCCAAAACUUCAACCUUUUGUGCACAUAGCAAUUCAAGACUAAGCCUUUAAUAAAUUUUUCUUUAAUUUCACAUAGUUAAUUUUUAAAUAGUUUUGAUUGGCCACUGAGCCUCUUUUUCUGAGUCAUCUGCGUGAUUUCAAAGUCACCUCUGAACGCCACCCAGAGUCAUCCUCUUUGCCAGAAUUUUGAGUGAGACCAAAGGAGCAUCCAAAAGAUACAUAAGACACUGGUUUUCCUUUUCGGGCCUGAGUGCUGCAACUCCUGGCCCAUCUUUCGGCUGACUUCGGUUGUCUUCUGAGCUAAACCUCUCGAACUGUCGGUAGGCCCAGACCUUCGGAACCUGCUCCAUCUUCUCCAAGGACCGGUCUCACUAAAGUAUGCAAACCUCCAGAGCUCCAAACAGGGCUGAUGCUGUCUCAUACAUUCAUGAUUGAAAUAAUAAUUUUCUUUAUAAUCCUAAAUUCAUCCAAAUCCACAUCGAAAUUCAUCUUGACACUAAAAUUAGUGUAGGUUAAUAUGUUAGCGCAUAUUCACUCACUAUCAUUAACUUUAGUGCUCCGAGCCUGACUCAAAGUCUUUUAUUAUUCACCUAUUAUUAUUUAUCCUCACUAUCUGUCAUCAUUUUUUGCAUGUAUGUUGUAACAUCAUUUAUCCUGUAACAAACAGAUCAUUAUUUUUCUAAGUUCUUGUCUGUUAGUGUUCUUCCAGAAGUGGAGUCCCUGAAAUUAGAAUUUUGGCUUGAGAUAUGAGACUGAUUAACUAAAACUGUCUUGAUGUUUGAUUUCUGAAUUAAACUUUUUUUUUUUUUUUCUUCCCACCAUUAAGUGUGGGUGGUGCCCCUUUCAAUGAGUGCAUAAACGUCAUAAUUUAAGAUAAAUAAUCUUCAGUCAUUUAUUAUAAAUUCAAAUCACUACACACAUGAGCAUACAGACAUUAGCAGCAGCAGUCUGGAAUGGACUACGUUAACUAGACUUGGCUUUUGCAGAACAAGCAAACUGGUUUCACCUUUGGGGAAAAAAGUAAUCAACAGCUGCUUCCCCUUAUUCAGCUGUCUUUCUUUUUCUUCCCUCCCUUUCUUCUUUUGAUACUCAGAUGUAUGCAUUUUGGGGUCCACGAUGUCUUCCCCCAGGUCACAGUCUGGGCCCACUGACAUUGCAUUUGUUGCCGGUCGCUGUCAGGCAGACUAAAUCAUAAUGAAAAACAGGCGAGAUGCUUUCAGUGACACAGUUUAAUGACUUUUAUGUUUUUCAUCCACAAUCAAAAACCCAUAAUUGAAAAGCUCACAACAACAUGUUGAUCUGAGAAAAGUCUAGUUAUAGAUGUCUUUACAAACACACUGAUCCAACAGAAGCAGACAGAAAUAUCCAUCGAUGACAUGAAUACAAAUAUUCAGCGAACAGAGAAAGCACAGAUCAUUUGAUGUGUUUUGGGGAAGACUGGAAGGACUUUUGACAGUUGGAUUUGGGCCAGGAAAUAAGGUUGUGCUCUUUCAUCUUUCUGUUAUUUUGAUGUCACUUUUUUUCUAAAGUCUCAGACCUUCAAAAUUUACACCAACUGAAGGUGAUUUGAACAAAUGAUCAUCUUGAAGAAAUUUUAAAAUGUGAAAUUCAAACAAUCAAAGUUAUCCACAAUCACUGUCCUUAUAACUGCGUCCAAAUUAGCAUCUUUAGAAAAGAAUAAAAAAGCUGAAAUGAAGAACUAAACCGAUAGUUUCUGGUGUGACUGAUCCACAAACAUUUACAAACCAGAACAUUUUAAGAGUUCAAUGGUCACAGUUACAUGCUGUUGGUCUGAUUGACUCAAAAUGUUCUUUAUUUCAGUUCAAUAAACUCAGCAGAGCCUUCAUUAUACCAGGGUGACAGUCCAGCAUGUAGCGGCUCAGUGAAUGUGGUCUUAACUCUGUGGAGGAGAGUCAUGGUUUCAGAGACGCUGUAGAAGGACAGAAUACCUGCUCUGUGAUCCAGGUACACUCCUACUCUUGAGGACUGAGGACCUGUGAUAGGAGUGAUGUCUUUGUUGUGCACAAAUUCAUACCUGUCUUUAUAACAGCACAAUCUCCAAGAUUUGUCGUUGUUUCCAAAUACACAGUUCUCUAAGUUUCCUGCUCUUCUGAUAUUCUUGUAUGCGACUGCUACAUAAACCCCGUCCCCUCUCCAGUCCACCUCCCAGUAACAACGUCCAGUCAGACUCUCUCUACUCAGGACCUGAAAAUUACCAGUGAAUCUGUCUGGGUGAUCAGUAUAAGACUGUUUUUGUUUGGUUGAUGUUGCUUUUCUGUUUCCUUUAGAUAAUGACAGCCGUCUGUUCGCUGUGUUUGGAUCCAGUGUGAUUCUUUGCGAAUAUCUUAGGAAACCAGCUCUGGUCUUUGGUUCUGGUUCUGGUUCUGGUGGUUCUAACAGUAAAACAUCCACUUCAGUCACUGCCUGUGAGAUGUUUGUCCAUGUCUCUGUAAGAAGAUCCUGGAGUUUCUCUCUGAGCUCUGACAAAGCUGCUGUCACCUCCUCAAAGUAUCUUAGAGGACAGAUGUUGAUUCUGGAUGAGUCUGCAGGUUGACCUGGUCCUGACAGUGAGGGGUAGCUGUACAGAAACUGGUUGUGGUCUUCUGUGAGAAAGAGCUUCUGCAGAUCAGCAUCUUUCCUCUUAAGCUCAGUGAUCUCCUGCUCCAACUUCCCCUGAAGCUCUUUGACUCGACUCACUUCACGUUCCUGCUGGGAUCUGACCUCCUGCUCCAUGUCAGAGCCGCAUUUCUCCAUGAGACGGAUCAGCUGACUGAAGAUCUUCUGGCUGUGCUCCACAGCUUUAUCAGCAGAGCCGUUGAUAGCCUCCACCUCCUGUUGGAGCAGCUUCACAUCUUCCUCUCUGUCCUGGAUUCUCUGCUGGAUGUUUUCUCGACUCUCCUCCAGAUCUUUCUGCCUCUCAGCUCUUUCUGCUGCAGCUGAGACUGUGUCGUGGCCUUUGUGUUGUUCCACAGAGCAGAGAUAACAGAUAGACUGUUGAUCAGUGCGGCAGAACAUCUUCAUCACCUCAUCAUGACUAGAGCAGAUGUUCUCCUGGAGCUUCUUGGAGGGCUCCACCAGCUUGUGUUUCUUUAAUGGAGCGACUUCAAAAUGAGGCUGGAGGUGAAUCUGGCAGUAAGAAGCCAGACAUUGCAGACAGGACUUGACAGCUUUCAGUUUUCUCCCACUGCAGAAAUCACAAGCCACAUCUUCAGGUCUAGCAUCAGAGAGAUCAUCAGGAGCCGCUUGGAGUCCGCUCUUCUUCAGUUCUUCCACUAAACCUGCUAACAUGGUGUUUUUCAUCAGUACAGGCCUCGGUGCAAAGGUCCGUCUGCACUGAGGACAGCUGUAGAUCCUCUUCUCAUCCUCAGUAUCCCAGUGGGAUUGAAUACAGCUCAUGCAGAAGCUGUGUCCACAGGUAACAGUCACCGGAUCCUUCAAUAGAUCCAAACAGAUGGAACAAGAGAAAGAUUCCUGGUCCAGCUGAACCCCUUUCUGCGCCAUUUCAACACUCACUGUCGACAGUGACUGACUGAGUUUCUCCUCCUGAGAAGUCAAACUAGUCUGGGCUCUGAUCUCAAGUCAGCUCAGUAUAUGCCGGUUACACCCAUCCUCAGACUGUACACCUGAUCAGAUGUGGGAGGGGAAAUCCAGUUUUUCUACAAUCCAGGUGGAGGAGCGGCAUUGUGAACUCUAGACAUUCAAACUUCAACAAGCAGAGGUUAUUCAAGCUGCAGCUUCACUAAAUGCACCAACAGUUAUUUACCUCAAAUAAUCCUCAUCACAGAAACACUUCCACUGUUUUAUCCUGAUAUCCGAACAUAUUUAAAUAUACACCACAUAUAAACACUCUCUUUCUCUCUCUCUCUCUCUCUCUCUCUCUUUCUUUCUCGCUGGCUAGUUGACCUCUGAGGGAGCAUUAGUUUUUCUGACUGGGGAAUCCCACUGGAUCUAGAAUGGCUCAACGCAUCAGGUGGCAUGUAGAGGAAGCCUCAGAGCUGAAACUACAGCAGAGGAGAUGGUGGGGAAUUUUUUUUUUUUUUGGCGCUCCUAUGUUUACUUUAAUUGGACUUUGCAGAACAAGUAAACUGGGUUCACCUUAAGGAAAGAAAGCAGUGAACAUCUGCCUCCCCUCAUUCUGCCAUCUUACUUAUUCUUCCUUCCCUUUCUUCUUUUGAUACACAGAUUUAUGCUUUUUGGGGAGCAUGAUGUCUAGCCCCCAGGUCACAGUCUGGGCUCACUGACAUUACACUUGUCACCAGUCACUGUCAGGCAGACUAAACCCUAAACAAAAACACGUGAGGUGCUUUCUGUAACAGUUUGAUGAUUUUUAUAUUUUUCACCCACAUUUAGAAUCUCGCAACUGAAAAGCUCACAACAUGUUGAUCUGAAAAAACUGUCAUUAUAGAUGUCUUAACAAACACACUGAUCCAACAGAAGCAGACAGAAAUAUCCAUUGAUGACAUGAAUACAAAUAUUCAGCACACAGAGAAAGCACAGAUCAUUUGAUGUGUUUUUGGGGCAGACUGGAAAGACUUUCGACGAUUGGAUUCGGGAUAGGAAAUAAGGUUGUGCCUUUUCAUCUUUCUAGCGCUAUUUUGACGUCACUUUUAUUCUCAGUCUCUUCAACAUCUGCACCAACUGGAGGGGAUUUGAACAAAUUAUCAUCUUGAUGUUGUUGCUAUCAAACUUUAGUGUAAAUUUUUUGAAAUGAGAAAUUCAAACAAUCAGUUAUCCACAAUCACUGUCCUUAAAGCUGCGUUCAAAUUAGCAUCUUUAGAAAAGAAUAAAAAAGCUGAAAUUAAAAACUAAUCUAAGAGUUUCUGGUGUGACUGAUCCACAAACAUUUACAAACCAGAACAUUUCAAGAGUUCAAUAAUCUUAUUUACAUGUUUUUGGUCUGAUGGACUCAAAACUCUGUUUUAGUUGAAUAAACUUAGCAGAGUCUCCAUAACUGUAGCCUAACCCCAGUCCAACGUGUAGCGGCUCAGUGAAUGUGGUCUGGACUCUGUGGAGGAGAGUCAUGGUUUCAGAGACGUUGUAGAAGGACAGAAUACCUGCUCUGUGAUCCAGGUACACUCCUACUCUGAAAGAUCGAAGACCUGUGACAGGAGUGAUGACUUUGUUUUGUACAAAUUCAUUCUCUGUUUACCCCUCUCAUAAUCCUUUCUCAAAUCUGUGUCUCCUCUUUGUCUGCCGUCCAGAAAGUUGAUCUUCUGCAGUGUUCCCAGCUGAGCCAUGUGGUCUCUCACAGAUGUCAGGUCUAGAUUAUCCUAAACGAGAGGAUUCGGGAGCUCAAUCUGGUGUAAUUUGAGGGUUGAUAACUGAUAUCACCUCUGAAAAUAGGGAAUGUCUGCACUGUAAGAGGGACUGCAAAGGCCAACUUUAAUUGGCCUUUGCAUAACAAGAAAACUAGGAUCACCUUUGGGAAAGAAAUCAGUCAACAGCUGCCUCCCUUCAUGCUGCUGUCUUUCUUUUUUUCUCCCUCUCUUUCUUCUUUUAAAACCAAGAUUUAUGCUUUUUGGCUAGCAUGAUGUCUAACCCCCCAGUCAUUCAGUCUGGGCUCACUCACUGGUGUUACACUUAUCGCCAGUCACUGGUGGGCGGACUAAACCAUUUUGCGCCUCCAAGAGAGGGCCCCCAGAAUGUCUAGUAUGUUGGGAGGACUAUGACAUAUAGUUCAUUCUCUCAGUUGAUGUUAUUAAUGUAUUUGAAAUAAAUUAUGACCCCAAUAUAUAGUAGGGUCUGAUUCAUUCGAAAGGAUUUUUAUGGGCCCCUUCUCCCUCCUUGGGCCCUGGGUAGUCAGGUCCAUUUUUCCCCUGCCACGCCCAUGCUCUAAGAUACUGCAGUCCAUUGUUGAGGAGUUUCAGUUGAGUCGGUCCUUCUAUCAAGUGGGUAGUUUGACAUCUAUGUGUUGUGGGAGUAUUGCAGGGUUCUCGCUCAAACAAUCACAAUAAAGUGGAAAACACAGCAGAGUCAGACAAACGCAGGGAUAGGGAUGUUUAUUUACAGCUGGUCCAAAUAAAAAAAAUAAAAUAAAAAAGAAAGAAAGAAAGAGAGGCAAGAAUUCUGCAAAAACUCAAGGACUAUUAAAAAGCAAUACAAAUGUCAGUUUGUCAGUUAUCUCCAUAGCCCCUCCCACUGUGCAUUAUUAACUACAUAAUCUUGGGGAAAACACAUUUUAUUCAUGUUUAAACUUUGUCAACCCCUUUAAGUCUUUAGAUCUUUUACUGUAAGUUUUUACCAUUUUAACAAGGUUUUUACUCAAAUCAAUAGAGCAUAAAUGUAUUAUGGCAUUUAAGUUCUUCAAAGAUGUUCAGUUAUCCAAAGUUUUUAUGUAAACCGUGUUUAGAAAAUUUUUGCUGUUGCUUUUGUAGUUUGGGCUUUUUUUUUCAUAGAGCUGGUUGCUUGUUUCUCUCAGGAGAUCUGGCAACACUGCAAGGGAUUAUUUUCUCCUGCGUCAUGUGACCACUUUUGCCCACCAUACCUACCUAUUUACCACACGGCAAUCAUGUCCUCUGUUUCCUCACUUAGAAACAUGAGCCGGCAUGAUGGCGUGAAUGGACGCACCUUGGGCGGGUAAGAAGAAGAAUGACUCUCUGUGUAAAUGUAUAUUUAAGUUAAAAGAUAGCGCUCCGAGUGUGCACCCUCGGUUACACUAGUGACAAUGUUUACCGGGUAAUUAGAAAUGCUGACGGGGGAGGAAAAUGUUUGGCGCUUCUCUGUGCGCUCCCCCCGGAGUCAGUAAAGACGCCGCUCCGUCACAGGGAGCCAUUGUGAAGUGUAGACAAGGAGGACAUUCUCAAAAGCCCUUUUCAUGUUGCAAGCUUGAGGUGCAAUAUUUCGCACCUGUAGAGUCAUACCUUCAACAUAAAUGUCACUGAGGCAUAAAAGUGGGACCAAGCUGUCCCGCUGUGGCACUGAAUAGAAAGAAACAGAGGCAGUUCAGGGGGAGAAAUAGGACCACCAUGAGCUGGUAUAGAAGGUAGUGGUCGAGAGAGGCACAAGUCAAAGUCACUUUUCAAGUCAUUUGGAGGCAGCGGAAAGUCCGUGCUGGCACACAAUUCCAACAAUUAUUACCAUAAAAAGUAUAUUUAUUUUGCGCUAGGGUUGUCAAAUUUGGGGAAUUCUCAAA